rnacentral:rRNA from 1 species
GACGAACGCUGGCGGCGUGCUUAACACAUGCAAGUCGAACGAGGUUCAGCUGACCUUCGGGAAAGCGAAACCUAGUGGCGAACGGGUGCGUAACACGUGAGAAACCUGCCCCAGACUUGGGAAUAACAGUCGGAAACGGCUGCUAAUACCGAAUACCUUCGUCGCGUCGCAUGGCGCAUCGAAGAAAGCUUUUGCGGUUUGGGAGGGUCUCGCGGCCUAUCAGCUAGUUGGUGAGGUAAUGGCUCACCAAGGCAUCGACGGGUAGCUGGUCUGAGAGGAUGAUCAGCCACACUGGGACUGAGACACGGCCCAGACUCCUACGGGAGGCAG